UACGAGGGGGGCGAGCGUUGUUCGGAAUUAUUGGGCGUAAAGGGUGCGUAGGCGGCCUGACAAGUCUGAUGUGAAAUCCCUGGGCUCAACCCAGGGCCUGCAUCGGAAACUGUCGGGCUUGAGUAUGGGAGAGGUGAGUGGAAUUUCCGGUGUAGCGGUGAAAUGCGCAGAUAUCAGGAAGAACACCCGUGGCUAAGGCGGCUCUCUAGUACGGUACUGACGCUGAGACGCGAAAGCGUGGGGAGCGAACAGG
rnacentral:rRNA from 1 species